rnacentral:rRNA from 1 species
CCAAUCCUCUGGCAAGUAUGGCUCACCAAGGCUACGAUGGGUAGGGGUUCUUAGUGGAAGGUCCCCCACACUGGCACUGAGAUACGGGCCAGACUCCUACGGGAGGCAGCAGUAGGGAAUAUUGGUCAAUGGGCGCAAGCCUGAACCAGCCAUGCCGCGUGCAGGAUGAAAACUCUCUGAGUUGUAAACUGCUUUUGUACAGGAGCAAAAAAGUCCCUGCGGGGAUUCUUGAGAGUACUGUAAGAAUAAGCACCGGCUAAUUCCGUGCCAGCAGCCGCGGUAAUACGGAAGGUGCAAGCGUUAUCCGGUUUUAUUGGGUUUAAAGGGUGCGUAGGCGGCUUAUUAAGUCAGUAGUGAAAUCCUAGUGCUUAACGCUAGAACUGCAAUUGAUACUAUUAGGCUUGAGUUAAGAAGAGGUAAAA